GAUGAACGCUGGCGGCGUGCUUAACACAUGCAAGUCGAACGAAGCUGCUUAAAGGAAGUCUUCGGAUGGAAUUUAGGUAGACUUAGUGGCGGACGGGUGAGUAACGCGUGGAUAACCUGCCUUAUACAGGGGGAUAACGGAGAGAAAUUUCCGCUAAGACCGCAUAAGACCACAGCACCGCAUGGUGCAGGGGUAAAAUAUUUAUAGGUAUAAGAUGGAUCCGCGUCCGAUUAACUAGUUGGUGAGGUAAAGGCCCACCAAGGCGACGAUCGGUAGCCGGCCUGAGAGGGUGAACGGCCACAUUGGGACUGAGACACGGCCCAAACUCCUACGGGAGGCAGCAGUGGGGAAUAUUGGACAAUGGGGGAAACCCUGAUCCAGCGACGCCGCGUGAGUGAAGAAGUAUUUCGGUAUGUAAAGCUCUAUCAGCAGGGAAGAAAAUGACGGUACCUGACUAAGAAGCCCCGGCUAACUACGUGCCAGCAGCCGCGGUAAUACGUAGGGGGCAAGCGUUAUCCGGAUUUACUGGGUGUAAAGGGAGCGCAGACGGCAAUGCAAGUCUGAAGUGAAAGGCGUGGGCUCAACCCAUGAACUGCUUUGGAAACUGUAUAGCUUGAGUGUCGGAGGGGUAAGCGGAAUUCCUAGUGUAGCGGUGAAAUGCGUAGAUAUUAGGAGGAACACCGGAGGCGAAGGCGGCUUACUGGACGACAACUGACGUUGAGGCUCGAAGGCGUGGGGAGCAAACAGG
rnacentral:rRNA from 1 species